CCAUAGCCCCGAUAGUAGCGGAAAUCCUUUUGCUUUUUUCUUUAAAAAGCAAAAGAUUGGAGCGGAUAGCGGGAAAUAGC
rnacentral:sRNA from 1 species